AGAUGUAGUCGUAGAGCGCGACUACGGUAAUCAAAAAAAAGCUCACUGAGA
rnacentral:sRNA from 22 species